rnacentral:sRNA from 1 species
UCCUGGCCCCUGGACGGGGACCUCACUGUUCCACCAGCCCAUCCGUGCACACUUAGUUUCCCCUAAAGCAGUGAGUGGCCGGGAUAGAACGCAAAACCGGCGGGGCUUCUGGAGCGCAGGGUGUCCCCGGUCUGCCUGUCCAUAUCGCCCCCUUUCCCCCAGGUUUCCGCAUGGGCCGGACCGUGGUCGUGCUGGGCGGAGGCAUCAGCGGCUUGGCCGCCAGUUACCACCUGAGCCGGGCCCCCUGCCCCCCUAAGGUGGUCCUAGUGGAGAGCAGUGAGCGUCUGGGAGGCUGGAUUCGCUCCGUUCGAGGCCCGAAUGGUGCUAUCUUUGAGCUUGGACCUCGGGGAAUUAGGCCAGCGGGAGCCCUAGGGGCCCGGACCUUGCUCCUGGUGAGAGGCUUGUGGGAUGUCUAGGAGAGGUUGUGGAGGGGGCUUCCAUUGGGGAAUAGAGUUUAGGGGAGGAAGUAUGUUUGGUGGGUCAGACCUUCCCUUAGUUUCUCCUCUUCUGAGGGCAUGUGGAGAGCAGGUUUCUGAGCUUGGCUUGGAUUCAGAAGUGCUGCCUGUCCGGGGAGACCACCCAGCUGCCCAGAACAGGUUCCUCUACGUGGGCGGUGCCCUGCAUGCCCUACCCACUGGCCUCAGGGGGCUACUCCGCCCUUCACCCCCCUUCUCCAAACCUCUGUUUUGGGCUGGGCUGAGGGAGCUGACCAAGCCCCGGGGCAAAGAGCCUGAUGAGACUGUGCACAGUUUUGCCCAGCGCCGCCUUGGACCUGAGGUGACACUUGCCCAGAGACCCCAAACCUCUUCCCUCCUAAACCAGCUGCAGAGCUCCCUGUUCAAAUCUACCACCUAGGGGCUCUUCUGUAUCAUUUGGGGAUGCCCUCUUCUCUUCAUACCCCACCCCCUCAUAAUUCCCAAAAGUCAUUAUUGGGAGUGAAGGCCUUCACUUCCAUCCGUCACAGUGGGAAUGUCCCUCAACCCAAACCCUAUCCCACCCUCAUUCCCUACCAAAUAGGGGCUGUGGAAAUCAGUCAGUGUAGAUUAUUUUUUGGCU